UAAAAGGAAGACUCAAAACACACACUGAUGUGUGUGUCUUGGUCGACGAAAACGAGAGCAACAGGAGGGAAAAGUUCCUCAAACCCUAAAUCAGCAAUUCAUCAAAAUCAGAAAGGAAAUCGGGCUUAAAACUGAUGCAUGAACUGAAAAUAAUGAUCAUCUAAGCAAAAGGAUCAUAAGGUAACUCGUGUGAAGCUUCAGGAAGUCAAGCCGGAGCGAACGCACGUUUGAAGGAAAAAGACUCGGACAACGAGUCAUAACCAAAAGAUAGUGAAUUGGUGAAAAGAAUUUGGAAUAGUUAAGUUCAACUAAGUUAUACGGUUGAACGGAUCGAGUAAGUGUGAAUGCAUACCCGAUAUCGGAUGCACAACACACAAGGAAAGUGAUAACCAUGAUGAUAUGGAUGAAGAUCAAGCAUUUUGUACGAAUCGGACACGAUCGAUGAUUUAAGUUCCGCUUUUGUAUAGUUGUUUUACAAAACAAACUAUGUUAAUAUAAUGAAAUGUUCGGAUAUCUUAUGAAGUUUUAUGAAAUACUAAGUUUUGUAAAGUCAUGUUAUAAAUGUUCUAUGAAACCCGAAAAAUAUAGACCUGGCA
rnacentral:lncRNA from 1 species